AUUGAACGCUGGCGGCAUGCUUUACACAUGCAAGUCGAACGGCAGCACGGACUUCGGUCUGGUGGCGAGUGGCGAACGGGUGAGUAAUACAUCGGAACGUACCCAGUAAUGGGGGAUAACUAUCCGAAAGGAUAGCUAAUACCGCAUACGCCCUACGGGGGAAAGAGGGGGAGCGCAAGAACUCUUGUUAUUGACGCGGGCGAUGGCUGAUUAGCUAGUUGGUAGGGUAAAGGCAUACCAAGGCAACGAUCAGUAGCGGGUCUUAGAGGACGAUCCGCCACACUGGAACUGAGACACGGUCCAGACUCCUACGGGAGGCAGCAGUGGGGAAUCUUGGACAAUGGGCGCAAGCCUGAUCCAGCAAUGCCGCGUGCGUGAAGAAGGCCUUCGGGUUGUAAAGCGCUUUUGUCAGGGAGCAAAUCCUUGUGGCUAAUACCCACCGGGGAUGAGAGUACCUGAAGAAUAAGGACCGGCUAACUACGUGCCAGCCGCCGCAGUAAGAC
rnacentral:rRNA from 1 species